GGCUCGGUGGUGGAAUGGUCCACAUCUACAUUAAAUGUACCAUUGUGAGUAAAGUUUAUGCAGAAGCAGCCCGUUCGACUCGGGUCUGAGCCA